rnacentral:misc_RNA from 1 species
AAAACUCAACAAAAAUGAGUAGUAGUAUUGUUUGUAUGAAUGUUGACAAUGUUUUUAUAGAAGGGUUCCACAAACCCCAAACAUCUUUCGAUUAUCUACUAAGCACACAAUACUGGCUACCCAAAAUACUCUCACCUUAAAUUAAUUACUGAAAGGCUACAAACUAUCUAUUGAAUGCCACACUACUUGUCAGCAUGCCUGCGCUUGUGCCUACGAGUUGCAUGGUUUGCAUGGGCACCCUUGGUUGGUUUCCUUUUUUUUGGACAGAAAGUAGCUGAAAUGAGUCUAUACAAAAAAAGGAUAGGAAUUGCCAACAACACAGAUGCCAUAAACCAGACCAGAUCCUUAGUUGCAAGAAAUUUUGUUAGUUCAUACUUCUUUAAAUUCUCCAUGACAGCGGCUUGAACCUGAUGAUGAUAUACUGAUGUUGACUUAAGAAUCCUUUUAUAUGUGCGAACAACAUGUUUCGUAUAGGGCUUUAAAACAAGUCGCACUUUUUCAACAUGAGGUUUGGUGACAAUAGCAACUUGAUCAACAUAGGGCUUCGAGAACUUCUUUGCUUCCUGAAAGUAAGGAACUGUCAGUUCUUGUACUUUUGUGAUAUGUGGUGCAGUGGCACUCUUAGAUGCCUCGUAAAACUCGAUGGUUUUCGUAGAUACCAUCUGAAAA